rnacentral:lncRNA from 1 species
UUGUAGAUGUGCAGGUGUGCUAUUGGAGUUGAUUAUUUUCGACUGAUUACAAUAGUUCAGUUGCAUCGAAAAUACGCAACCACUCUAUUACCAAAGAGUUGGUCCAGGAUAAAGAUGGGGUUGGGCCCAAUAACUAUUAGGUGAGGGACUCAAUGAUGACCUUAUACCUGCUUGUGAAUGGUGGGUCGGGCUUAAUUAAAAAGUGUGGACAAUAACUGCUAGAUGAGCCCACAUGACUUAGAGACC